rnacentral:rRNA from 1 species
CCGGGGAUAACAGGCUGAUACCGCCCAAGAGUUCAUAUCGACGGCGGUGUUUGGCACCUCGAUGUCGGCUCAUCACAUCCUGGGGCUGUAGCCGGUCCCAAGGGUAUGGCUGUUCGCCAUUUAAAGUGGUACGUGAGCUGGGUUCAAAACGUCGUGAGACAGUUUGGUCCCUAUCUGCCGUGGGCGCUGGAGAUUUGACGGGGGCUGCUCCUAGUACGAGAGGACCGGAGUGGACGGACCGCUGGUGUACCAGUUGUCACGCCCGUGGCAGCCGCUGGGUAGCUAUGUCCGGGAGGGAUAAGCGCUGAAAGCAUCUAAGCGCGAAGCUCGUUCCAAGAUGAGAUCUCCCACAGGGUUAACCUGGUAAGGCCCGUGGCCAGAUGACCACGUUGAUAGGCCGGAGGUGUAAGCACCGUGAGGUGUUCAGCCGACCGGUACUAAUCGGCCGAGGGCUUGG